GAUGAACGCUGGCUACAGGCUUAACACAUGCAAGUCGAGGGGAAACGGCAUUGAGUGCUUGCACUGAAUGGACGUCGACCGGCGCACGGGUGAGUAACGCGUAUCCAACCUUCCCGUUACUGCGGGAUAACCUGCCGAAAGGCAGACUAAUACCGCAUGUUCUUCGAUGACGGCAUCAGAUUCGAAGCAAAGAUCCGUCGGUAACGGAGGGGGAUGCGUCUGAUUAGCUAGUUGGCGGGGCGACGGCCCACCAAGGCGACGAUCAGUAGGGGUUCUGAGAGGAAGGUCCCCCACAUUGGAACUGAGACACAGUCCAAACUCCUACGGGAGGCAGCAGUGAGGAAUAUUGGUCAAUGGGCGGAAGCCUGAACCAGCCAAGUAGCGUGCAGGAUGACGGCCCUACGGGUUGUAAACUGCUUUUAUGCGGGGAUAAAGUGAGGGACGCGUCCCUUUUUGCAGGUACCGCAUGAAUAAGGACCGGCUAAUUCCGUG
rnacentral:rRNA from 1 species